ACCCGCUGAACUGAAACAUCUAAGUAGGCGGAGGAAGAGAAAACAAUAGUGAUUCCGUUAGUAGUGGCGAGCGAACGCGGAAGAGCCCAAACCAAUGUUGUUUCGGCAAUAUUGGGGUUGUAGGACCACAACAUUCUAUGCUUAGUGAAUUAGAAUACUUUGGAAAGAGUAACCAUAGAGGGUGAUAGUCCCGUAUAAGUAAACGACGAUAUAGAUAGUGGUAUCCUGAGUAGCGCGGGGCACGUGAAACCUUGUGUGAAUCCAGCAGGACCAUCUGCUAAGGCUAAAUACUCUUGAGAGACCGAUAGUGAACUAGUACCGUGAGGGAAAGGUGAAAAGUACCCUGAAUAAGGGAGUGAAAUAGAUCCUGAAACCAUACGCUUACAAGCGGUCGGAGCCUUCGGGUGACGGCGUGCCUUUUGCAUAAUGAGCCUACGAGUUACCGUUACUGGCAAGGUUAAUAGUUUCUGACUAGGAGCCGCAGCGAAAGCGAGUCUGAAUAGGGCGCUUAGUCAGUAGUGGUAGACGCGAAACCGUGUGAUCUACCCAUGGGCAGGUUGAAGCUGUGGUAACACACAGUGGAGGACCGAACCCGUUGACGUUGAAAAGUCUUGGGAUGACCUGUGGGUAGGGGUGAAAGGCCAAUCAAACUCGGAAAUAGCUCGUACUCCCCGAAAUGCAUUUAGGUGCAGCGUUGCGAUAGUUUUAUAGAGGUAGAGCUACUGAUUGGAUGCGGGGGCUUCACCGCCUACCAAAUUCUGACAAACUCCGAAUGCUAUAAAAUGUUUCGCAGCAGUGAGGGCAUGGGUGCUAAGGUCCAUGUCCG
rnacentral:rRNA from 1 species